rnacentral:misc_RNA from 1 species
CUUAGUCAUGGGCCAUGAUUCUCCAAUACUACGUACGUAAGGAAGAGCCUGUUUGAUUACAAAAGAACCGGCAAAGCCAACGACGAUGUACACAAAAUUGAGAUUCCCGUCUCCAACUUCUUUGAUAUUCAAGUCAUCGUAAUUGUUGCCAAUCUUGUUGGAUAAAACGGGGUUGGUCUUGAUGUACUCUAUCAAAGAUUUCUCAU